UACAGGGGGGGCAAGCGUUGUUCGGAAUUACUGGGCAUAAAGGGCUCGUAGGUGGCCAACUAAGUCAGACGUGAAAUCCCUCAGCUUAACUGGGGAACUGCGUCUGAUACUGGAUGGCUUGAGUUUGGGAGAGGGAUGCGGAAUUCCAGGUGUAGCGGUGAAAUGCGUAGAUAUGCGGAGGAACACCGAUGGCGAAGGCAAUCCCCUGGGCCUGCACUGACGCUCAUGCACGAAAGCGUGGGGAGCAAACAGG
rnacentral:rRNA from 1 species